rnacentral:rRNA from 1 species
UACGUAGGGUGCGAGCGUUGUCCGGAAUUAUUGGGCGUAAAGAGCUCGUAGGCGGUGUGUCACGUCGGCCGUGAAAACCUGCAGCUUAACUGUGGGCGUGCGGUCGAUACGGGCAUCACUGGAGUUCGGCAGGGGAGACUGGAAUUCCUGGUGUAGCGGUGAAAUGCGCAGAUAUCAGGAGGAACACCAAUGGCGAAGGCAGCUCACUGGGACGGUAUUGACGCUGAGACGCGAAAGCGUGGGGAGCAAACAGG